rnacentral:lncRNA from 1 species
AGGACAGAGUGGUAUGAUGGAUGAUAUAUGACAGUGAAGCCAAGCCAAGUGCUGAAUCUCUCCAGUUGUCAUUGCAUUGGUGUGUGGGGUCAGAUGUUAUCAUGCUGAAGGAGAGGCUGCUCUAUAAGUGAACAAACUCUUUGAAUUUAUGUUUUCAGUUUUCAGAGAGUUGCACAGUACUUUUCCGAAUUUAUAGUACUACCAGUAGCCAUGAAUUCCAGGUGUGCACCACAUCUUGAAUAUCCCAGAUGAUUAUGAGUUUGCUUGUUGAUGGCAUAGUUUGAACAUUUUGAUACAAGUUAUCUUUUGUGACAAAUUCCAUGGAUAUUCUCUUGCUUUCAGGAUUAAAAUGGUGUGCCCAACUUUCAUCUCCUGUGGUAAUAUUAUUUAAGAAUCCAUCACCUUCACAUUCAUAGCUCAGAAGUAAUUGUUGACUAAUGUCCAAUCUCUUCUGUUUGCUGUGAGGAAUGACCAUUUGAAGUGCCCAUCAUGCACAAAGUUUUCAGAAUUCCAGUUCUGCAAUUAUCAUCUGCACAUGCUCCCAUGAUAUGCCACAUUUGGCUGAUAGCUGUCCUAUGUUAUGCGAUGAUUCUCUCUAAUGAAUUUAUCAACAUGAUUCUGAUGUGCUUCAUCGAUUGCAAUACAUGUUCUUCCACUUCAUUCUUUGACACACAAGUUGAGAGUUGUAUCACUGUUUUUUUCAUUAUGAGCACUAAUAGCCCAACUACAUAGAAAUGAAGCACUCAAGGCAGGUGCAUUUUGUUAUUUAAUGUGGCCCCUUAAAGAACAAAAAUGUGCUUGCUUUUGAGUGCUUGAUUUCUAUGUAGUAUUAUAUGAAAGCAAGAAGUCUAGUUAAUUACUGGUUGAAAAUAACCCAAUAGUGCACAGUACUCAUGUCUAUGCAUUCAUCCUCCUGUAAACAGCAUUCUUUUUCUGAUGAAUGUCAAUUUGGAAGCACAUUUUCUGCAGUUAGAAACUCUCACCACACAUGCUUCAGAUGCAUUGAUAUAGUGUUGUUACAUGUUGCUAUAUUUCUGACUAUAACUCGGAGAUCUUUAAUGGCAGAAGUCUGAAAUGUAUGUCAGUGAAGCAGAAAAGUCUACUGAGUAGAAUGCAUGAUAGAAUACUCCAACAUAUGUUUAGAAAAAAACAAAAGUUAGGAGGUAUUAUUUUUCAGCAUGCCUAUGUAUUUAUAUAAUUUAGGUUUAAGUUAGAGAGCUGCUUCCCUCCCAAUGAAUAUGCAAUGCCAGAUAUUGCACUUUUAUUUAGUAGUACAUCUGAAUAAAUCAAAAUUAUAAAAAUUUUAUUAUGCUACAUCUUUUGAAGGUUUUUAUACUGUUGUUAGAUCUUUCAAAUAAAUUGUUGUAAUUAGAAAAAAUUAAAAUCCUAUAUGUAUUUCUGACUUUUGGUAAUGGAUUAGUGAUGCUUUUCAGCUAUCAUUUAAAAAUUAUUAAUAUAGUAUUGUGUGUAUGUAAUGCUAUAUACAUACAGGUAGUCCCUAGUAAAUGUAGAUUUAUAGUUAUGUAGAUUCCCUGACUAAAAUCAAAAAAAUAUAAUGAUUAUAGUGGUUAAAGCUGUAACAGAGAAAUAUGAGCUCUUUUCUCUCUAAUUUCAUCAUUUAUCAUAUGUGCAUAAGUUUUCUGUGUUUAUUAAGUUAGUUUUAGUCAUUCAGCUAAGCCUGGAUCCUCCCAAGAAACUAAAGAUAUAGAAUUCAGAAUUGAACCUAGAUUCUCUAAGAUGAUAAGCAAUCCAAGAUGAACAAGCACUAGAUCUCAUCUCAUAUCAUCAUCAUCAUCAAACUGUUAUUAUAUUCCACUCUCAUUCUUUCCAUAUUGUUCAUUAUUUGUAUUAAUUAUAGUAUUAGUGCUGUCAAAUUCUAUUAACACCAUUCUGCAUUAUGAGGUGAAGAAUUAUUCUUUCAGAUUCUUCUGAUCCAUUAUUAUAAAGAUUUUUAUAUUGUUCUAAGGAACUCGUAGCCACAGACUGAAUGACUAGGCCACUCAUCUACAAGCUAGGAAAUAACUAUCAUCAUUACUGACUCCCAUAUUGAAUAUCAAGUCAAUUUUUUCCCCAGGUUUAGGAAUGGCCAGCUACUUUGUUGCAUAACUAUUUUUAUUAUUACAUCUUUGUAUCUUUGUAACAGACUGUUAUAUAGGAUAUGCUUCACAUAGAUAUGUUUUGACUUAAGUGGAUUAUUUAGUGAAAUCAUAUGUAAAUCAGGGAUUUUUGUAAUAAUCAUAAAUUGAAUUUAAGUAAAUUGAUUAUUAUUAUAUAUUAGUAAAGCACCU